UACGUAGGGCGCGAGCGUUGUCCGGAAUUAUUGGGCGUAAAGAGCUCGUAGGCGGUCUGUCGCGUCGGCUGUGAAAACCUGGGGCUCAACUCCGGGCCUGCAGCCGAUACGGGCAGACUAGAAUUCGGUAGGGGAGACUGGAAUUCCUGGUGUAGCGGUGAAAUGCGCAGAUAUCAGGAGGAACACCGGUGGCGAAGGCGGGUCUCUGGGCCGAUAUUGACGCUGAGGAGCGAAAGCGUGGGGAGCGAACAGG
rnacentral:rRNA from 1 species